rnacentral:rRNA from 1 species
UGAGGAAUAUUGGUCAAUGGGCGAGAGCCUGAACCAGCCAAGUAGCGUGCAGGAUGACGGCCCUAUGGGUUGUAAACUGCUUUUAUAUGGGAAUAAAGUGAGGGACGUGUCCCUUAUUGCAUGUACCAUAUGAAUAAGGACCGGCUAAUUCCGUGCCAGCAGCCGCGGUAAUACGUAUGUUGCGAGCGUUAUCCGGAAUUAUUGGGCUUAAAGGGCAUCUAGGCGGUAAGACAAGUUGAAGGUGAAAACCUGUGGCUCAACCAUAGGCUUGCCUACAAAACUGUUGAACUAGAGUACUGGAAAGGUGGGUGGAACUACACGAGUAGAGGUGAAAUUCGUAGAUAUGUGUAGGAAUGCCGAUGAUGAAGAUAACUCACUGGACAGAAACUGACGCUGAAGUGCGAAAGCUAGGGGAGCAAACAGG